UACGUAGGGUGCGAGCGUUAAUCGGAAUUACUGGGCGUAAAGCGUGCGCAGGCGGUUCGUUAAGUUCGUUGUGAAAGCCCCGGGCUCAACCUGGGAACUGCAAUGGAAACUGGCGGGCUUGAGUGUGGCAGAGGGGGGGUGGAAUUCCGCGUGUAGCAGUGAAAUGCGUAGAGAUGCGGAGGAACACCGAUGGCGAAGGCAGCCCCCUGGGCCAACACUGACGCUCAGGCACGAAAGCGUGGGGAGCAAACAGG
rnacentral:rRNA from 1 species